UGUCUCAGAAUAACUCAUUUUACGGGGAAUCCGCCAAUGGCUCAUUAAAACAGUUAUAAUUUACAUGGUGGUCACUUGUUAGUUGGAUAACUGUGGUAAUUCUAGAGCUAAUACAUGCGUAAAAACUCCACUUUCGGGAAGAGUUGUAUUUAUUAGAUACAGAACCCUCCCCUUCGGGGUUUUGGAUGAUCCAUAAUAAAUGAACGAAGCGUAUGGUUAGAACCGACGCUGCACCAUUCAAGUUUCUGACCUAUCAGCUUUCGAUGGUAGGGUAUUGGCCUACCAUGGCUUUGACGGGUAACGGAGAAUUAGGGUUCGAUUCCGGAGAGGGAGCCCGAGAAACGGCUACCACAUCUAAGGAAGGCAGCAGGCACGCAAAUUACCCAAUCCUGAUACAGGGAGGUAGUGACAAGAAAUAAUUGUGCUGGCCACAUUGUGGUUACGCAUCAAGAAUGAAUAGCAUGUAAAUAUCGCUAAUACUAUCAAUUGGAGGGCAAGUCUGGUGCCAGCAGCCGCGGUAAUUCCAGCUCCAUUAGUGUAUAUUAAAGUUGUUGCGGUUAAAAAGCUCGUAGUUGGAUUUCUGUCGGGGAUGGCCGGUCCGGUCUAAGACUGUGUAUCAGGUCCAGCCUUGGCAUCCUCGUAUUCUUGCGAUCAUUAAUUUGGUUGUGGGUGUGCGACUUUUACUUUGAGGAAAUUAGAGUGUUCACGGCAGGCUUUCGCCCUGAAUAUAUUAGCAUGGAAUAUAAAACAGGACCUUGGUACUAUUUUGUUGGUUUCUAGAACUAAGGUAAUGAUUAAUAGGGACAAUUGGGGGCAUUCGUAUUGACGUGUCAGAGGUGGAAUUCUUGGAUUACGUUACGACGAACUACUGCGAAAGCAUUUGCCAAGGAUGUUUUCAUUGAUCAAGAAC
rnacentral:rRNA from 1 species